rnacentral:rRNA from 1 species
AGAGUUGAUCUGGCUCAGAACGAACGCUGGCGGCGCGUCUUAAGCAUGCAAGUCGAACGGCAAGAGGUAGCAAUACCUCCUAGAGUGGCGGACUGGUGAGUAACACGUGGGUGACAUACCCUUCAGAUGGGGAUAGCUAUUAGAAAUAGUAGAUAAUACCGAAUACGAGCACAGGGGUUAGAGAUCUGUGAGGAAAGGAGCUAAGGCUCCGCUGAAGGAAUGGCCUGCGGCCCAUUAGCUAGUUGGUGAGGUAAGAGCCCACCAAGGCGAUGAUGGGUAUCCGGCCUUAGAGGGUGAACGGACACAUUGGGACUGAGAUACGGCCCAGACUCCUACGGGAGGCAGCAGCUAAGAAUAUUCCGCAAUGGACGAAAGUCUGACGGAGCGACGCCGCGUGGAUGAAGAAGGCCGGAAGGUUGUAAAAUCCUUUUGAAACUGAAGAAUAAGCGUUGUAGGGAAUGACAGCGUGGUGACAGUAGGUUUUGAAUAAGCAACGGCUAAUUACGUGCCAGCCGCCGC